UUGCUGCAAGGUGAAGUGGCCACCAGACUCAGGGUGCAAGUGUCCAUCUCUUUCCACAGUGUUUCAUGACACGGGAGCCUCCAAGAAGAACCCGUGUUAAGAGUUUCUCUUCAGGAUGAUUGGACUGCUCUACCCAGCAUUGCUGAGUCAUUGAAAUUAUGAGACUAUCAUUCAGAUGGAAGCAUUGUAGUUCUUCGGAACCAUUAUGAUCUCAAAAGGAAAGGAGAAUGAUACAGAUACACUGGCUGAGGUGUUUUGAGGUGCAUCGAAGUGUUCCAAGCUGUGACUUACCUUAACAUGUUCUUGAAGUACCAUGGCGUGGAUUAAAAGAAAAUUUGGUGAGCGGCCUCCACCUAAACGACUCACUAGACAUCAUGAUCAGCUAUAUGGAAAAUCCUAUGGAAUCUAUUAAAAAAAGCUGCUAAAACUAAUAG